UGACAGAAUGCUUAACACAUGCAAGUCGAUGGGGAAGGCUGAGCUUGCUUAGCUGGUAACCAUGGCGGACGGGUGAGUAACGCGUAAGGAACUUACCUGCGGGACUGGGAUAACGGAGGGAAACUUCUGACAAGACCGGAUAAAGUUACUGGGCAGCAUUGUUUAGUAAUGAAAGGAGACGCCUGCGGAGAGUCUUGCGUCCUAUUAGCUAGUUGGUUGGGUAAUGGCUGACCAAGGCGAAGAUAGGUAGCCGGCCUGAGAGGGUGGACGGCCACAAGGGGACUGAGAUACGGCCCUUACUCCUACGGGAGGCAGCAGUGGGGAAUAUUGGACAAUGGGGGCAACCCUGAUCCAGCAAUUCUGUGUGCACGAAGAAGGUUUUCGGAUUGUAAAGUGCUUUCAGCAGGGAAGAAGGAAGUGACGGUACCUGCAGAAGAAGCGACGGCUAAAUACGUGCCAGCAGCCGCGGUAAUACGUAUGUCGCGAGCGUUAUCCGGAAUUAUUGGGCAUAAAGGGCAUCUAGGCGGCCUAACAAGUCAGGGGUGAAAACCUGCGGCUCAACCGCAGGCCUGCCUUUGAAACUGUAAGGCUGGAGUACCGGAGAGGUGGACGGAACUGCACGAGUAGAGGUGAAAUUCGUAGAUAUGUGCAGGAAUGCCGAUGAUGAAGAUAGUCCACUGGACGGAAACUGACGCUGAAGUGCGAAAGCCGGGGGAGCGAACAGGAUUAGAUACCCUGGUAGUCCCGGCCGUAAACGAUGAUUACUGGGUGUGGGCAGGAAGACUGUCUGU
rnacentral:rRNA from 1 species